UACGGAGGAUCCGAGCGUUAUCCGGAUUUAUUGGGUUUAAAGGGAGCGUAGGUUGACGUAUAAGUCAGCUGUGAAAGUUUACGGCUCAACCGUGAAAUUGCAGUUGAUACUGUAUGUCUUGAGUGUACAAGAGGUGGGCGGAAUUCGUGGUGUAGCGGUGAAAUGCUUAGAUAUCACGAAGAACUCCAAUUGCGAAGGCAGCUCACUGGGGUACAACUGACACUGAGGCUCGAAAGUGUGGGUAUCAAACAGGAUUAGAUACCCUGGUAGUCCACACAGUAAACGAUGAAUACUCGCUGUUUGCGAUAUACAGUAAGCGGCCAAGCGAAAGCAUUAAGUAUUCCACCUGGGGAGUACGCCGGCAACGGUGAAACUCAAAGGAAUUGACGGGGGCCCGCACAAGCGGAGGAACAUGUGGUUUAAUUCGAUGAUACGCGAGGAACCUUACCCGGGCUUGAAUUGCAGAGGAACAUAGUUGAAAGAUUAUGGCCGCAAGGUCUCUGUGAAGGUGCUGCAUGGUUGUCGUCAGCUCGUGCCGUGAGGUGUCGGCUUAAGUGCCAUAACGAGCGCAACCCUUAUCAUUAGUUACUAACAGGUCAUGCUGAGGACUCUAGUGAGACUGCCGUCGUAAGAUGUGAGGAAGGUGGGGAUGACGUCAAAUCAGCACGGCCCUUACGUCCGGGGCUACACACGUGUUACAAUGGGGGGUACAGAGGGCAGCUACCGGGCGACCGGAUGCCAAUCCCAAAAACCUCUCUCAGUUCGGAUCGAAGUCUGCAACCCGACUUCGUGAAGCUGGAUUCGCUAGUAAUCGCGCAUCAGCCACGGCGCGGUGAAUACGUUCCCGGGCCU
rnacentral:rRNA from 1 species